GGGGUGGAGACAAUAACGAGGACAGGUGAAACAGAUCAGGGGUGGAGACAAUAACGAGGACAGGUGAAACAGAUCAGGGGGUGGAGACAAUAACGAGGACAGGUGAAACAGAUCAGGGGGUGGAGACAAUAACGAGGACAGGUGAAACAGAUCAGGGGGUGGAGACAAUAACGAGGACAGGUGAAACAGAUCAGGGGGUGGAGACAAUAACGAGGACAGGUGAAACAGAUCAGGGGUGGAGACAAUAACGAGGACAGGUGAAACAGAUCAGGGGGUGGAGACAAUAACGAGGACAGGUGAAACAGAUCAGGGGGUGGAGACAAUAACGAGGACAGGUGAAACAGAUCAGGGGGUGGAGACAAUAACGAGGACAGGUGAAACAGAUCAGGGGGUGGAGACAAUAACGAGGACAGGUGAAACAGAUCAG